rnacentral:misc_RNA from 1 species
GUUCGAUAAGAAAAAUAAUUUCAAUCUAUGACAAAGUACCGUGAAGGAUGUCCUUGUGCGACAAGGAUUAAUCAAAGCAUUGAAUGAGAAACAACCGGCGGCUAUGAAAGACGAUGUUUGGGAGGAGUUUCAACAAAGGAUAGUAAGUAUAAUUAAAUUGAAAUUAACCCCGAAUGUGAAGUAUAACGUUUUGGAGGAGGCUUCAACGGUUGUUUGGUAAAAGAAAUUGGAUAAUUUAUACAUAUCAAAAUUACUCACAAAUCGUUUGUAUUGUAAAAAGAAGUUGUAUCAACUCAGAAUGGACGAAAGUAUUGAUGUGAGGAAUCACUUUAAUAUUUUUAAUAAAUUAAUU